UGAUCCCAUGCCGAACUCAGAAGUGAAACCGCUUAGCGCCGAUGGUAGUGUGGGGUCUCCCCAUGCGAGAGUAGGUCAUCGUCAGGC
rnacentral:rRNA from 1 species